rnacentral:rRNA from 1 species
UACGGAGGGUGCGAGCGUUGUCCGGAAUCACUGGGCGUAAAGGGCGCGUAGGUGGCGCGAGUAGUCAACGGUGAAAGCCCGGGGCUCAACCCCGGGUCGGCCGUCGAUACUCUCGUGCUUGAGCACUGUAGAGGCAGGUGGAAUUCCGGGUGUAGCGGUGGAAUGCGUAGAGAUCCGGAAGAACACCGGUGGCGAAAGCGCUCUGCUGGACCUUAACUGACACUGAGGGACGAAAGCUAGGGGAGCGAAUGGG